rnacentral:rRNA from 1 species
UACAGAGGGUGCGAGCGUUAAUCGGAAUGACUGGGCGUAAAGGGUGCGUAGGUGGUUUUUUAAGUGUGCUGUGAAAGCCCUGGGCUUAACCUGGGAAUGGCAGCACAUACUGGGAGACUAGGGUAGGUCAGAGGUAUGUGGAAUUUCCGGUGUAGCGGUGAAAUGCGUAGAGAUCGGAAAGAACACCAGUGGCGAAGGCGGCAUACUGGGACCCUACUGACACUGAGGCACGAAGGCGUGGGGAGCAAACAGG